rnacentral:lncRNA from 1 species
AGAAAACGCAACAGUCAGCCUGUUCCAAGAUUCUGGGCAGGCUGUGUGGUGUGAUCCAUAGGACUUGGGCUGCUGUGGAGUGAAGAAUACAAUGACUGCCAAUUCACCUUGGUGCUGUGAUCUUGAUUCCUGCAAACAUACCAGCAGUUUUACCCACCAUCGCUUUUGUACUAUCAGUACAGAGGCCAGUACAGUGGAAAAGAAAUUGACAAGCUGAUCCUAAAAAUCACAUGAAAAUGUAAAGAAUCCAGCAAUCUCUUGGAAAAGAAGCCAAAACAAUAUUGGAGAAGAAAAACAAAGUUGGAAAACUCACACUUCCUGAUAUCAUAACGGAAAAGAAGGACUAUUACCACAAUAUCUGAAGGAUGAGAACUUUUUGGAAUUGUCCAACAUCUCAAAAAUGUCAGUUAUCAUGGAUGCCUAUCAUUUAAGGAAUUUGCAUGUAUCUGGGCAUUAUUGAUAGAAUCCAGGGUUGAGCACUGAGUGGGAAAGGAAAAGUGUUCCUACUGAAGUCUCCAAACUUUUGUGAUUGCAAACCUCUAAUGCGUGGAAAUCCCUGCAUCCAGGGGAACUCCUCUACCUCUGACAAAUCGAAAUGCUCAGUCACUCCAGGCCGAAUUGGGAUUUU